AAACAUGUCUUUUUGUAAAGAAUUUAAAGUCUAAUCUGCUCCAUGAUUAAAUUAAAUAGCUGCGGUAUAUUAACCGUACAAAGGUAGCAUAAUCAAUAGUUUUUUAAUUAAAAGCUGGAAUGAAUGAUUUGAUGAAAUAAUUAUUGUCUCAAAUUUAAUAAAAUUAAAAUUUUUUUUUUAGUAAAAAUACUAAAUUAUUUUUAAAAGACGAGAAGACCCUAUAGAUUUUUAUAAUUUUUUUAAAUUAAAAAUUUAAGAUAAUUAUUUAAUUGGGGAAAUUGUUAAAUUAAUUAAAUUUUAAUAUAUUAAUAACAGUGAUUAUUGAUUUUUUGAUCUUAAAAUUUAGAUUAUUAGAUUAAAUUACCUUAGGGAUAACAGCGUAAUUUUUUUAGAUAGAUCUUAUUGAUAAUAAAGAUUGCGACCUCGAUGUUGAAUUAAGAUAAAAUUUUAAUGAAGAAGUWAAAAAAUUUUGGUCUGUUCGACCAUUAAAAUCUUACGUGAUC
rnacentral:rRNA from 1 species